rnacentral:snRNA from 1 species
UCAAUCAUUAAUCUAAAGUUUU